rnacentral:rRNA from 1 species
GCCAGACUCCUACGGGAGGCAGCAGUGGGGAAUAUUGCACAAUGGGGGAAACCCUGAUGCAGCGACGCCGCGUGAGCGAGGAAGUAUUUCGGUAUGUAAAGCUCUGUCAGCAGGGAAGAAGAAUGACGGUACCUGAAGAAGAAGCACCGGCUAAAUACGUGCCAGCAGCCGCGGUAAUACGUAUGGUGCAAGCGUUAUCCGGAUUUACUGGGUGUAAAGGGAGCGCAGGCGGUUCUGCAAGUCUGAUGUGAAAGCCCGGGGCUCAACCGCGGGACUGCAUUGGAAACUGCGGGACUGGAGUGUCGGAGGGGUAAGCGGAAUUCCUGGUGUAGCGGUGAAAUGCGUAGAUAUCAGGAGGAACACCGGUGGCGAAGGCGGCUUACUGGACGAUGACUGACGCUGAGGCUCGAAAGCGUGGGGAGCAAACAGGAUUAGAUCCCCCCGUA